UACAGAGGGUGCAAGCGUUGUUCGGAAUUAUUGGGCGUAAAGCGCGUGUAGGCGGCUUGUUAUGUCGGGUGUGAAAGCCCUCGGCUCAACCGAGGAAGUGCGCCCGAAACUGGCGAGCUUGAGUGCCGGAGAGGAUUGUGGAACACCCGGUGUAGAGGUGAAAUUCGUAGAUAUCGGGUAGAACACCAGUGGCGAAGGCGACAAUCUGGACGGACACUGACGCUGAGACGCGAAAGCGUGGGGAGCAAACAGG
rnacentral:rRNA from 1 species